UGCUUAGCUUUGAUAUAUAUGUUGAUCUAUAUCAGUUGCUUAAAAUUGCCUAUUUUCAAUUGUUUUUUGCAGGUAAUCAGUGGCAUUAAGAAGGGGAGCAACUGUGGUUCUGUUUUGGUGCACUCGGGAAGCAUUUCUCCUACCUAGGUGUCAUGUGUUAUUUUAAAAUCAGUUGGUUUCUCAAAUUCGUAGAGAUCGUUGUGAGUAGAGAAUGGACUGUAAUUCAGCAGUUUCCGGCAGCCACUCAAUAGAAAUUGGUUAACUUACACUCAAAAUUAAAGACGCAGAUCCCGGGUGCUUUGCAAUUUUUGCAGCUUGGAGAAAGCAGCGUUGCAUGCUUCGGGUGUACUGCGCAGGACAGGGAAGCACUUAUUCUUGAGGGACAACAACAAUGAAAAACCUCCUCUUCUGCUGCUCCAUAUCACCAAAGAUUUUGAUGAGCUUAAGUUCAUGUGAAGUUCCUUUGAGAUGGUGGUGUGGUGAGUUAGGUGGUGUUGUGGCUCCUUUGAGAUUACAGUGGUGUUACACCAUGAAUAGAAAUUCGGUGAAAAUCCCCUUUUUUUUUUUUUUUGAGUUGGGCUCAAAACAUUAUGUAUGAAGAUUUUAGAUGAUAAUGUAUGAAUAUUGUGUGAUUAUAAUAUUUUGAAUGUUAUAUAUUA